GAUGAAGAACGCAGCGAAAUGCGAUAAGUAAUGUGAAUUGCAGAAUUCAGUGAAUCAUCGAAUCUUUGAACGCACAUUGCGCCCGCCAGUAUUCUGGCGAGCAUGCCUGUUCGAGCGUCGUUUCAACCAUCAAGCCCCAGGCUUGUGUUGGAGCCCUGCGGCUGCCGCAGCCUCCCAAAACCAGUGGCGGGCUCGCUAUCACACCGAGUGCAGUAGUUUACUCUUCGCUCAGGGCGUGUGGCGGGUGCUAGCCGUGAAACCCCCAACUUCUCAAGGUUGACCUCGGAUCAGGUAGGAAUACCCGCUGAACUUAAGCAUAUCAAUAAGCGGAGGA
rnacentral:misc_RNA from 1 species